rnacentral:rRNA from 1 species
AAGAAGGCCUUAUGGUUGUAAAGCACUUUAAGCGAGGAGGAGGCUACUUUAGUUAAUACCUAGAGAUAGUGGACGUUACUCGCAGAAUAAGCACCGGCUAACUCUGUGCCAGCAGCCGCGGUAAUACAGAGGGUGCAAGCGUUAAUCGGAUUUACUGGGCGUAAAGCGCGCGUAGGCGGCUAAUUAAGUCAAAUGUGAAAUCCCCGAGCUUAACUUGGGAAUUGCAUUCGAUACUGGUUAGCUAGAGUGUGGGAGAGGAUGGUAGAAUUCCAGGU